CCUUCUGUAACAUACAUAAAAUGGGGAUGCCUCUUUAAGAAAACAGACGUUAAGGGAGCUAGGUAGUCUAUCUAGCCAAUAGGAAGUUAAGUUUCCAGUGUCUAUCCACCAAUGAGAAUGCAGACUGCCCCUGUAGGUCCCGCCCUGCUUGCCCAUGUUUGCAGCAAUAUAGUGUGAUCGAGGGAGAUCGGACACGAGGACGAGACUGCUGAGCUGUGCAGCGUCAGAGUCUGUGUUAAGACUAUUAUAGUAUUACACACGAAUGAAAAGACGAAGCUUUUUGCAAUUGAAAUUGCUGUUUAUUAUCCAAGUUCUAAUCUGGAAUUAGUUGAGCUGAAGUGUCCCACCUGUCUGGACUCGAAGCCAUCAUAUUGUUGUCCCAAACUGAUGCAUUGAGAUCGGACAUUUUCGUUAAUUUCUGUCAGGGCAGCCAGCUACACCAGGGAGGAUCCAGCUAUGUGCCCAGAGACCCGAGGCCCAGGGGCCCCCUGCGUGGCCCCGUCAGAGCCAUGGGGCCCAGGGCCUGUGGAGCAGUCAUCAGGAGUGGAUCAGCACACACAGCUGUUGUGAUGGAUGGGGACAUCCCCAGUGAUGGAAAACAUCUGGAAAAAAGAGAACCUGGAGAAAGAAAAAGA